GACGAACGCUGGCGGCGUGCUUAACACAUGCAAGUCGAACGGAAAGGCCCUGCUUUUGUGGGGUGCUCGAGUGGCGAACGGGUGAGUAACACGUGAGUAACCUGCCCUUGACUUUGGGAUAACUUCAGGAAACUGGGGCUAAUACCGGAUAGGAGCUCCUGCUGCAUGGUGGGGGUUGGAAAGUUUCGGCGGUUGGGGAUGGACGGGCGGCUUAUCAGCUUGUUGGUGGGGUAGUGGCUUACCAAGGCUUUGACGGGUAGCCGGCCUGGGAGGGUGACCGGCCACAUUGGGACUGAGAUACGGCCCAGACUGCUACGGGAGGCAGCAGUGGGGAAUAUUGCACAAUGGGCCGAAGCCUGAUGCAGCAACGCCGCGUGCGGGAUGACGGCCUUCGGGUUGUAAACCGCUUUCGCCUGUGACGAAGCGUGAGUGACGGUAAUGGGUAAAGAAGCACCGGCUAACUACGUG
rnacentral:rRNA from 1 species